UGUGAUGUAGCCUUCAGAAUAGGGGAGAAAAUAAUUCCUGCCCAUAAGAUCGUGUUGGCUUCUUCUGACACUCCCUGCACUUUUAUAAUUUUAGAGGUAACUGCUUCUUGAUGAAAUGCCUCGAUCCUUUUCGAAUAAACUUGUGAAAAGGGGGCUUCAUGAGGCUCCUUUUGAGAUUUUUAAAGUGUUUAAUUAAAGAGUCCUGUGCCAGGAUCAUGCAAGUGUGUCCUUGUCUAAUUCAAAAAAAGGAUCUUGUUUCUUUUACAUGAAGAAAGUUCUUCCCAAUCACAUUCAACAUGUCUGUGCAAUAAUCCACUUUCUCGAUGCUUCUUACAGUCAAAAGCAUUUUAAGCAAUUCUUCGUAACUUACUCCAUUUAUAUGAUCCAGGCACAGCUUUUUAAGAUCAUGAACUUUAAAGACGUGCAAGUUUGAGGAGAUCAGAAAUGAUGGUUGCCUCAAUCUUAAUUGCUCCUCAGUAGAAGAACUCAAGGAAUACCAUUAAGGAUUUUUCCAAUUCAAACUUUGUGUUCAAAGAGUCCUGUGCCAGGAUCAUGGAGAGUGUAUCCUUGUCCAAUUCAAAAAAGGAUCUUGUUUCUUUUACAUCAGGAGAAUGUUCUUCCUAAUCACAUUUAACAUGUCUCUGCAAUAAUCCACUUCCUCGAUGCUUUUAACCAUUGAAGGAUUGUAAGCAAUUCUUCAUAACUUACUUCAUUUAUACGAUCCAGGCAAAGCUAUUUUAUAUCGUGAACUUUAAAGAUGCGUGCAGAGUCUGAAUGUAGGAUGUUUUUACCUCUGUUAUUUCUUGGAUACAUCACCACGACUAUGAAAUUAGAAUACAUUAAUUAGAAGAUUCCAUCCGACUGAUGUCUCCAAAGGAGCUUUUCAUCAGAUGAGAUGCUUUAAGAUCUUUAAACCUUUGCCUAAUCACCAGAAAGUUGUGGAUAUGAUCACUAUGGCCAACUGGAUUCAGACCUCAUUCCUCCCAUAAAGAUGACACAUUAGAGGACCUGCUACCCUGGGAAAGGAAUGAAAAAGCAGAAGAAGUGUCAGAAGCUACAUAAAAAAUUAUCAUGAUGUUUUUUCCUGGAUGGUGACUGUAGGCUCUUUUUCCACAUGUGAAACCCACAUGUAUUUUCGGGAUUUGACUUGAAGUGCAGAUGGGAGUGUCAGACUGUAUGAUUGGGGUCACUUGCAGACACUGACAAUGCUUUGACAAACAGGGGCCCCUUCUCCAAAGUCACAAAGGUUUUGUUUAGUUUCCAAGGAAACAAGUGCUGUGUGAGUGACACUGAGGGAGCCAUAUAGGUCAAUGGCAAGUCUGUCUCCAGUCAGCAACUUCACCAAACCCAUCCUGAGUUUACAUUGCCACAAUAAGACCACCAGUGAUUUAAGCUUUAAUUGGAUCCUCCAGUCUCAUAGCUACAGCAGGCCACUCCGUCGUCAGAGAGCAGAAAUGUCUGUUGAUGCCACACACUG